rnacentral:rRNA from 1 species
AUUGAACGCUGGCGGCAGGCCUAACACAUGCAAGUCGAGCGGAGCGGCGGACGGGUGAGUAAUGCCUAGGAAUCUGCCUGGUAGUGGGGGGGAACGUCCGGACACGGGCGCUAAUAACGCAUAAUAACAGCUGAGACUAGGGAGGGUACGAUAGAUGUUGGGGUAAAGGCCUACCAAGGCGACGAUCCAUCACUGGUCUGAGAGGAUGAUCAGUCACACUGGAACUGAGACACGGUCCAGACUCCUACGGGAGGCAGCAGUGGGGAAUAUUGGACAAUGGGCGAAAGCCUGAUCCAGCCAUGCCGCGUGUGUGAAGAAGGUCUUCGGAUUGUAAAGCACUUUAAGUUGGGAGGCGUUACCAACAGAAUAAGCACCGGCUAACUUCGUGCCAGCCGCCGCGGUAAUAC